rnacentral:rRNA from 1 species
AUACGGAGGGGGCAAGCGUUGUUCGGAAUUACUGGGCGUAAAGAGUACGUAGGCGGAUCGUUAAGUUAGAGGUGAAAUCCCAGGGCUCAACCCUGGAACUGCCUUUAAUACUGGCGAUCUAGAGAUCGAGAGAGGAGAGUGGAAUUUCCAGUGUGGAGGUGAAAUUCGUAGAUAUUGGAAAGAACACCAGUGGCGAAGGCGGCUCACUGGCUCGAUACUGACGCUGAGGUACGAAAGCGUGGGGAGCAAACAGGAUUAGAAACCCUAGUAGUCC